rnacentral:rRNA from 1 species
UACGUAGGUGGCAAGCGUUGUCCGGAUUUACUGGGCGUAAAGGAUGCGUAGGUGGAUAUUUAAGUGGGAUGUGAAAUACCCGGGCUCAACUUGGGUGCUGCAUUCCAAACUGGAUAUCUAGAGUGCAGGAGGAGGUAAAGUGGAAUUCCUAGUGUAGCGGUGAAAUGCGUAGAGUAUUAGGAAGAACACCAGUGGCGAAGGCGACUUACUGGACUGUAACUGACACUGAGGCAUGAAAGCGUGGGGAGCAAACAGG